UUCCACAAUGGGGUCUCACUCUAGCCAAGGUGAGGAAGAUCUACGUGUUCUCUAAGGGCUGAGAGGUAUGCCUCAAACCACUGAGGAGGGGUGAUCUAACAUCUCUGCAGUAGAGGGGGCGGGGCUUCUGCAACUGGUUACAAGGGAGCUAGGCAGGGAAGUCCCCCAGCUCUUCUACCUCGGUAUAUUAAACGUUUCUGAGCUCCCCUGUACUGGCGGUCCAGCAGGGUAGGCGGGAGUGGAUGUGUGCAGAGGGAGUAAUACACCAAAGCCUCUGUCCAAGGGGAACUGCUGCAUCAAGGCGGAUCUGUGUGCCUUAGCGCCGGUAAAGGCCCGAGUCGCUCAGCUUUUGGGGGAGGGAGGUAUGUCUCUAUAACCGUGGGAUCGAUGUCGCCACACGGAGACGCCUGUCUACCCUGAAGGGGUGCAGAAUGGAGCCUCGCCAUCCUGAAGAGAGGAGGGCACUCGAUGCUUCUCCACACAAGUGAGAGUGGAGGACGCCUCUUGUUUCCACCUCAAAUACACGAGCCUUAACACGCAGCUGGCUGGGAGAGCGCUCACAACGAGAAAAGAGGAGAGUCGUCUCUUACCUCCACUUCCGGCGGGGAUCAAAGAGGAGAGAAUGGCACCACGAUACGGUUGGUCGGCAGGCUGAGCUAACGCGGAUAGGCUCCGACUUCCGGAUCCCAGCCUUACGGCGCCGGUCCGCCCGCCUUGCUUCGGAUUGACGGCUCGCGCUCGCCCAUCCCUACUCCGCAGGCGCGGUGGUCCCGCCUCCCAGCUUCCCUGUGCGGUGAGAAAAAAGCCGAGAAGGGGUAGGCGGGGGACCGAGCGGCCGGGUCGACUAGUGUGGCCAUAUAACCUACUUGUAAGCCAAGAGCUUGUCCGAUGACCUCUGCCUGGGCCCAAAUAUGCGUGUUCCCGAAUUUUAGUAACCAAGCAAUCACCAUGACCGCAUCAUACAAGGGUGGGGGUCAGUCCCUUUGUCUACAAAGGAAGAUGGCGACGGGCUGGGUGUGAGAAAAUGGCCGCCUAGGUCACAUGUCUUGCCGAGUGCUCCCCACCUAAAAGUGACUUGGUUAGCCGUUCCCAACUUCUUCCUGGCUUGUAGGGUCCCAGACAAACCCUGAGGCAGCCGCUCCCAGCGCUUUCUGCCGAAGUUCAAAUGCAUGGUCAGGCCCAGGAGCUGGACAACUGGAAGCCUCUCCCACCCGUUUGCCCUCUUCUCCUCCUCCUCCUCCCUUCUUAUCUUUGGCCCCAGAGCGGCAAAUGAAGAAAGGAAUGAAUGUAUAUCUCUGAAGUGGGUACAAAUAAGGAUUUCUUUAGAAACUAUCUUGAGAAGCUCCUGACCUGGCUGGAGAAUGAGGUCUCCCCUUAAAAAUAGUAAAUAUUAGUCUGACAAUGAUUUCUUUGUGAUAAUUUAAUUGCAGCCCCUUCUUUUCCUCAAACCUAAACUUUGGGUGUGGGGCCAGGCCCCCAGUACCUCGGGUGUGUAUUCCUCCACCUCAAAAGUAUCCAAGCAGAAACUGAUUCCCUCUGUCUAGUCCUACCCCUUACAUAUGCACUACUCAUUGUGUCUUCUAUCCUCUCACCCUGGAGACACACAAAACUCUGCACCCCAAACCAGUCCUCACCACCUUGACCCUUCCCCCUGCAUUAGCAAAUUCUUCCUGUUUAAGACCUAACUCUGGUCACUUCUGUGAACUUUCACAGCUGAGUUAGAAACUCAGAACACCUUUCUGCACUUAUCUCUUAAUACUGUAAUCAUUUAUAUGGCUGCAUCUCCACACAAAUGGAAAUGCAGUCUCACUUCCUAAGACUAGGGGCCAUAUAUCUUCAAGACCUCAACAAGACCCAGCACAAGACUGGUACAAGGCAGACUUCAGCAAAUAUAUGUGAAAUGGGUUAGUUUAUAGGCCUGCACCACAGAUCAAUGGAAAAUGGACAAUUUAGUAGAUAGCACUGGGAAAUUUGGCUCACCAUAAACAGAGAAAUAAAACUGGAUCCUGACUUAUUUCCACAUAAGAUAGUGAAGAGUAUCUUUGUCACCCACAACUGGGGAAACACUUUUUCAACAAAGUCCCAAAUGUGCAAACUAUAAGGGGAAAAUGCAAUGAAAUCUUUGAUAAGAAUGAAAAUUGGUGUUACUACUUCGGAAAACAAUUAGCAAGUUAUCCGGAAUAGUUAAAGAUGGGCCCUAGGACCCAGGAAUUCUACUGGUAAUGAUGUAUAUAACCUCUAGACUCUUAGAGAAAGAGACAGGUGAGAGUGGGGGAGGGGCAGAGAGAGACACACACACAGAAUCCAAAGCACCCUCCAGGCACUGAGCUGUCAGCACAGAGCCCUACUCUGGGCUCAAACUCAUGAACCACAAGAUCAUGACCUGAGCUAAAGUCAGACGCUUAACCCACUGAGCCACCCAGGUGCCCCUGUCCUAGAGAAAUUCUUAAGCAUAUGCACAAGGAGGCAUGUGCAAGAAAAUUCAUUGCAUAACUGUUUGUAAUAGAGAAGAAAUAUCAAUCUAAAAGUUCACCAACAGAAUGAAUAAAUUGUGGUACAGCUAUACAGCAGCAAAAAAAUGAAACAGAGAUGCAUAUUUCAACCCAGAUAAAUUUCAAAAACACAGUGCUGAGAUAAAAUACAAAUUGUAGAAGGAUAUGUAGAUUUUUAAAUAAAUUUUUAAGUAAUCUCUACACCCACCAUGGGGCUUAAACUUUUGACCGCAAGAGAUCAAGAAUCAGAUGCUUUCUUUACCGGCUAAGCCAGCCAGGUGACCAUAUAUAGUUUUUUUUUUUUUUAAUCUAUAAAACAAUGCAGUGUGUUAUUUAUAGAUUAUAUAAAUAUAUAACCAAUAUUUUUAAGACAAGGGAAUUAAAUACCAAAUGCAGAAUUGUGAUUAGGCCCAGAGAAGAAAACAAAGGAACAGAAUGAGAGAGAGAUACACAGAGGAUUUCAAUUGUUUAUCCAAUAUUUUAUCCAGGUAGUAAGUACAUGGGUGUGUGUUAUGUUAUUCUCUAUACCUAUUUGUAUGCCUGAAAUAUUACAUAAUCUUUUUAGAAAGACUACAAGUAUCUAUAACAAAAUUAAUGAUGGUUAAACCUAGGAGGGCUUGUCAGAACACUGAUUGCUGGGCCCUACGUCCAGGUUUUGUUUCACUAAGUCUGGUAGGGCCCAGGAAUUUGAAUUUCUAACAAGUUUCCAAGUGAUGAUGAUGAUGAUGAAGAAGAAAGAGGGGGAGGAAGAGGAGAAUCAUCUGCAGCUGCUGCUUGUCCAAGUACCAUAUUUUGAGAACUACUGACAGAGAAAAUGAGAUUAUUGGUGAAUUUUGUUGUCUUUAUUGUGCUUUUCUGUGUUUUCUAUGUAGUCAAUGAAUAUGAACUACUUUACGGAGA